AACGAACGCUGGCGGCAUGCCUAACACAUGCAAGUCGAACGAGACCUUCGGGUCUAGUGGCGCACGGGUGCGUAACGCGUGGGAAUCUGCCCUUGGGUUCGGAAUAACAGUGAGAAAUUACUGCUAAUACCGGAUGAUGACUUCGGUCCAAAGAUUUAUCGCCCAAGGAUGAGCCCGCGUAGGAUUAGGUAGUUGGUGGGGUAAUGGCCUACCAAGCCGACGAUCCUUAGCUGGUCUGAGAGGAUGAUCAGCCACACUGGGACUGAGACACGGCCCAGACUCCUACGGGAGGCAGCAGUGGGGAAUAUUGGACAAUGGGCGAAAGCCUGAUCCAGCAAUGCCGCGUGAGUGAUGAAGGCCUUAGGGUUGUAAAGCUCUUUUACCAGGGAUGAUAAUGACAGUACCUGGAGAAUAAGCUCCGGCUAACUCCGUGCCAGCAGCCGCCGUAACAC
rnacentral:rRNA from 1 species